rnacentral:rRNA from 1 species
CCUACGUGCGGCAGCAGUGGGGAAUAUUGGGCAAUGGGCGCAAGCCUGACCCAGCCACGCCGCGUGAAGGAAGAAGGCUUUCGGGUUGUACACUUCUUUUAAGAGGGAAGAGCAGAAGACGGUAUCUCUUGCAUAAGCUACGGCUAACUACGUGCCAGCAGCCGGGGUAAUACGUAGGGAGCGAGCGUUGUCCGGAUUUACUGGGUGUAACGGGCGUGCAGGCGGGAGUACAAGUCAGAUGUGAAAGCCCGCGGCUCAACCGCGGAACUGCAUUUGAAACUGUAUUUCUUGAGUACUGGAGAGGCAGACGGAAUUCCUAGUGUAGCGGUGAAAUGCGUAGAUAGUAGGAGGAACACCAGUGGCGAAGGCGGUCUGCUGGACAGCAACUGACGGUGAGGCGCGAAAGCGUGGGGAGCAAACAGGAUUAGAUACCCCUGUAGUC